GUGGGGAAUCUUGCGCAAUGGGCGAAAGCCUGACGCAGCCAUGCCGCGUGAAUGAUGAAGGUCUUAGGAUUGUAAAAUUCUUUCACCGGGGACGAUAAUGACGGUACCCGGAGAAGAAGCUCCGGCUAACUUCGUGCCAGCAGCCGCGGUAAUACGAAGGGGGCUAGCGUUGCUCGGAAUUACUGGGCGUAAAGGGCGCGUAGGCGGACAGCUUAGUCAGAGGUGAAAGCCCAGGGCUCAACCUUGGAAUUGCCUUUGAUACUGGCUGUCUUGAGUGUGGGAGAGGUGAGUGGAACUCCGGGUGUAGAGGUGUAAUUCGUAGAUAUUCGGAAGAACACCAGUGGCGAAGGCGACUCACUGGCCCAAUACUGACGCUGAGGCGCGAAAGCGUGGGGAGCAAACAGGAUUAGAAACCCCAGUAGUCC
rnacentral:rRNA from 1 species